CACAGGACAGGGUGGUGGCUAACGGCCACCCGGGGUGACCCGCGGGACAGUGCCACAGAGAACAGACCGCCGCUGCCUUCCAGGUAGCGGUAAGGGUGAAACGGUGGGGUAAGAGCCCACCAGUCCUCGUGGUGACACGAGGAGCUAGGUAAACCCCACCCGGAGCAAGACCAGACAGCAUGCGCCCGAGGGCUGUCCGCCCGAGCAUGCGGGUAGGUUGCUAGAGACCAUCGGCAACGAUGGCCCGAGAUGGAUGAUCGCCGAUC
rnacentral:misc_RNA from 1 species